rnacentral:lncRNA from 1 species
AAUUAUAUUAUUUCUAAUGGUUUCCUUAGUAGAAAUUAUACUAACAUUAUUGUUGCUCCUAGUAUGGCAGAAUUUGUAAUUCUUAAAGCUUUUUAUGUGAAGAUUCACCCUCCUCCUAAGACUCCUAAAAUCAAAAAGAUCUCGUGGUAUCAUCCUUUAACUUCUUGAACUAAAUGCAACUCAUAUGAAGCUGGUAGUCUUGGCAAUGUAGUACGUGGUGG